AAACCAUGGUUUAGGCAUUUUCGAAGGAGAGCUUUGAAACGAGCAAAUGCCUCAUAGAGGGGCUCGUCAUGGCCUUGAAUGAAUUGGAAGAUCUCACUCUUGAGCUU